GGUUAAGCGACUAAGCGUACACGGUGGAUGCCUAGGCAGUCAGAGGCGAUGAAGGGCGUGCUAAUCUGCGAAAAGCGUCGGUAAGCUGAUAUGAAGCGUUAUAACCGACGAUACCCGAAUGGGGAAACCCAGUGCAAUACGUUGCACUAUCGUUAGAUGAAUACAUAGUCUAACGAGGCGAACCGGGGGAACUGAAACAUCUAAGUACCCCGAGGAAAAGAAAUCAACCGAGAUUCCCCCAGUAGCGGCGAGCGAACGGGGAGGAGCCCAGAGUCUGAAUCAGUUUGUGUGUUAGUGGAAGCGUCUGGAAAGUCGCACGGUACAGGGUGAUAGUCCCGUACACCAAAAUGCACAGGCUGUGAACUCGAUGAGUAGGGCGGGACACGUGACAUCCUGUCUGAAUAUGGGGGGACCAUCCUCCAAGGCUAAAUACUCCUGACUGACCGAUAGUGAACCAGUACCGUGAGGGAAAGGCGAAAAGAACCCCGGCGAGGGGAGUGAAAUAGAACCUGAAACCGUGUACGUACAAGCAGUGGGAGCACCUUCGUGGUGUGACUGCGUACCUUUUGUAUAAUGGGUCAGCGACUUAUAUUUUGUAGCAAGGUUAACCGAAUAGGGGAGCCGUAGGGAAACCGAGUCUUAACUGGGCGUCUAGUUGCAAGGUAUAGACCCGAAACCCGGUGAUCUAGCCAUGGGCAGGUUGAAGGUUGGGUAACACUAACUGGAGGACCGAACCGACUAAUGUUGAAAAAUUAGCGGAUGACUUGUGGCUGGGGGUGAAAGGCCAAUCAAACCGGGAGAUAGCUGGUUCUCCCCGAAAGCUAUUUAGGUAGCGCCUCGUGAACUCAUCUUCGGGGGUAGAGCACUGUUUCGGCUAGGGGGCCAUCCCGGCUUACCAAACCGAUGCAAACUCCGAAUACCGAAGAAUGUUAUCACGGGAGACACACGGCGGGUGCUAACGUCCGUCGUGAAGAGGGAAACAACCCAGACCGCCAGCUAAGGUCCCAAAGUCAUGGUUAAGUGGGAAACGAUGUGGGAAGGCACAGACAGCCAGGAUGUUGGCUUAGAAGCAGCCAUCAUUUAAAGAAAGCGUAAUAGCUCACUGGUCGAGUCGGCCUGCGCGGAAGAUGUAACGGGGCUAAACCAUGCACCGAAGCUGCGGCAGCGACACUUAGGUGUUGUUGGGUAGGGGAGCGUUCUGUAAGCCGUUGAAGGUGACCUGUGAGGGUUGCUGGAGGUAUCAGAAGUGCGAAUGCUGACAUAAGUAACGAUAAUGCGGGUGAAAAACCCGCACGCCGGAAGACCAAGGGUUCCUGUCCAACGUUAAUCGGGGCAGGGUGAGUCGACCCCUAAGGCGAGGCUGAAAAGCGUAGUCGAUGGGAAACAGGUUAAUAUUCCUGUACUUGGUGUUACUGCGAAGGGGGGACGGAGAAGGCUAGGCUGGCCGGGCGACGGUUGUCCCGGUUUAAGCGUGUAGGGGGAGUGACCAGGUAAAUCCGGUUGCUUAUCAACCCUGAGGCGUGAUGACGAUGCACUACGGUGCAGAAGCAGUUGAUGCCAUGCUUCCAGGAAAAGCCUCUAAGCAUCAGGUAACAUUAAAUCGUACCCCAAACCGACACAGGUGGUCAGGUAGAGAAUACUCAGGCGCUUGAGAGAACUCGGGUGAAGGAACUAGGCAAAAUGGUGCCGUAACUUCGGGAGAAGGCACGCUGGCGUUAGGUGAAAGGACUAGCUCCUGGAGCUGAAGCCAGUCGCAGAUACCAGCUGGCUGCAACUGUUUAAUAAAAACACAGCACUGUGCAAACACGAAAGUGGACGUAUACGGUGUGACGCCUGCCCGGUGCUGGAAGGUUAAUUGAUGGGGUCAGCCGCAAGGCGAAGCUCUUGAUCGAAGCCCCAGUAAACGGCGGCCGUAACUAUAACGGUCCUAAGGUAGCGAAAUUCCUUGUCGGGUAAGUUCCGACCUGCACGAAUGGCGUAAUGAUGGCCAGGCUGUCUCCACCCGAGACUCAGUGAAAUUGAACUCGCUGUGAAGAUGCAGUGUACCCGCGGCAAGACGGAAAGACCCCGUGAACCUUUACUAUAGCUUGACACUGAACAUUGAGCCUUGAUGUGUAGGAUAGGUGGGAGGCCUUGAAGUGUGGACGCCAGUCUGCAUGGAGCCAACCUUGAAAUACCACCCUUUAAUGUUUGAUGUUCUAACUCGGCCCCAUGAUCUGGGGUGAGGACAGUGUCUGGUGGGUAGUUUGACUGGGGCGGUCUCCUCCCAAAGAGUAACGGAGGAGCACGAAGGUUAGCUAAUCACGGUCGGACAUCGUGAGGUUAGUGCAAAGGCAUAAGCUAGCUUGACUGCGAGAGUGACGGCUCGAGCAGGUACGAAAGUAGGUCUUAGUGAUCCGGUGGUUCUGAAUGGAAGGGCCAUCGCUCAACGGAUAAAAGGUACUCCGGGGAUAACAGGCUGAUACCGCCCAAGAGUUCAUAUCGACGGCGGUGUUUGGCACCUCGAUGUCGGCUCAUCACAUCCUGGGGCUGAAGUAGGUCCCAAGGGUAUGGCUGUUCGCCAUUUAAAGUGGUACGCGAGCUGGGUUUAGAACGUCGUGAGACAGUUCGGUCCCUAUCUGCCGUGGGCGUUGGAAGAUUGAGAGGGGCUGCUCCUAGUACGAGAGGACCGGAGUGGACGAAUCACUGGUGUUCGGGUUGUCAUGCCAAUGGCAUUGCCCGGUAGCUAAAUUCGGAAGAGAUAACCGCUGAAAGCAUCUAAGCGGGAAACUUGCCUCGAGAUGAGUCUUCCCUGGGRCUUAAAGUCCCCUGAAGGAACGUUAAAGACUAUGACGUUGAUAGGCUGGGUGUGUAAGUGCAGCGAUGUAUUGAGCUAACCAGUACUAAUGAUCCGUGAGGCUUAACCUU
rnacentral:rRNA from 1 species